rfam:Gossypium hirsutum cultivar TM-1 unplaced genomic scaffold scaffold2312.1, whole genome shotgun sequence
UGUUAAAAUUUUCUUCUAUUUGUAUUGUUAAGAACUGACGUAGCUGACAGAAUAAUCAGGUAAUAACACAUGGCGUGCCAUAUGUAUCUCAUGUUAAUGUACGAAGACCAAUUUUAGCAAUAAAAAUGGAUGAAAAUUUAAUA